UAUUGGUCAAUGGGCGGGAGCCUGAACCAGCCAAGCCGCGUGAGGGAUUAAGGCCCUACGGGUCGUAAACCUCUUUUUCCGGGGAGCCGGGCGGCGGACGUUUUCGCCGCUUGCGAGUACCCGGAGAAAAAGCAUCCGCUAACUCCGUGCCAGCAGCCGCGGUCAUACGGAGGAUGCGAGCGUUAUCCGGAUUUAUUGGGUUUAAAGGGUGCGUAGGCGGGCUUUUAAGUCAGCGGUAAAAAUUCGGGGCUCAACCCCGUCCGGCCGUUGAAACUGGGGGCCUUGAGUGGGCGAGAAGAAGGCGGAAUGCGUGGUGUAGCGGUGAAAUGCAUAGAUAUCACGCAGAACCCCGAUUGCGAAGGCAGCCUUCCGGCGCCCUACUGACGCUGAGGCACGAAAGUGCGGGGAUCGAACAGG
rnacentral:rRNA from 1 species